ACGGAGGAUGCGAGCGUUAUCCGGAUUUAUUGGGUUUAAAGGGUGCGUAGGCGGUGAAAUAAGUCAGUGGUGAAAAGCUGCAGCUCAACUGUAGUCCUGCCAUUGAAACUGUUUUACUUGAGUAACCAUGAGGUAGGCGGAAUGUGUAGUGUAGCGGUGAAAUGCUUAGAUAUUACACAGAACACCGAUUGCGUAGGCAGCUUACUAGAGGUUCACUGACGCUGAUGCACGAAAGCGUGGGGAUCAAACAGGAUUAGAUACCCUGGUAGUCCACGCCGUAAACGAUGAUAACUCGCUGUUGGCGAUACACAGUCAGCGGCUUAGCGAAAGCGUUAAGUUAUCCACCUGGGGAGUACGCUCGCAAGAGUG
rnacentral:rRNA from 1 species